AACGAACGCUGGCGGCAUGCCUAACACAUGCAAGUCGAACGAGACCUUCGGGUCUAGUGGCGCACGGGUGCGUAACGCGUGGGAACCUGCCCUUAGGUUCGGAAUAACUCCCCGAAAGGGGUGCUAAUACCGGAUAAUGUCUUCGGACCAAAGAUUUAUCGCCUUUGGAUGGGCCCGCGUUGGAUUAGCUAGUUGGUAGGGUAAAAGCCUACCAAGGCGACGAUCCAUAGCUGGUCUGAGAGGAUGAUCAGCCACACUGGGACUGAGACACGGCCCAGACUACUACGGGAGGAAGCAGUGGGGAAAAUUGGAAAAUGGGCGAAAGCCUGAUCCAGCAAUGACGCGUGAGUGAUGAAGGCCUUAGGGUUGUAAAGCUCUUUUACCCGGGAUGAUAAUGACAGUACCGGGAGAAUAAGCUCCGGCUAACUCCGUG
rnacentral:rRNA from 1 species